rnacentral:lncRNA from 1 species
UUUGUUUGAUUACAUCUGGAUACAAAUUGGAUUUAAAUUAGAUUUGUGCUGAAAAACACAGCUUGCACAGCUACCCCUCCCAGCACUGACUACCGGAGAAAUGUAUGUUAUUUAAAAGAAGUACAUCAGUCAUGGAAAUGGACUGACUGUAAGUCCUGGUCAAUACCUUGCAGCUUAUUAUACAGAAGAAAAGAAGUGUUUUUCAGCUUAAUUCCAACCUGGAUCUGAGGAACCUGGCUAAACUUUCUGGACAGGAUCCAAUUGAAAACAUGAAGAUUAAUUUACUUGACAUCCUGUGGUAAAUAUAACAAAAUAUAUUUUAAAAAUAUGUAUGUUUUCGCAUUGACUUCCAUAACGUUCCUGU